rnacentral:rRNA from 1 species
CCCUUAGAUGUUCUGGGCCGCACGCGCGCUACACUGACGAAUGCAACGAGCUUAUAACCUUGGCCGAAAGGUCUGGGUAAUCUCCAAAUUUCGUCGUGAUGGGGAUAGAUUAUUGCAAUUAUUAAUCUUCAACGAGGAAUGCCUAGUAAGCGCAAGUCAUCAGCUUGCGUUGAUUAUGUCCCUGCCCUUUGUACACACCGCCCGUCGCACCUACCGAUUGAAUGGUCCGGUGAAAUCUCGGGACGGCGGCUUGGUCGCUUGCGUCCGACUGCUGAAACUUGAUUAAACCAUAUCAUUUAGAGGAAGGUGAAGUCGUAACA